rnacentral:rRNA from 1 species
AUUGAACGCUGGCGGCAUGCCUUACACAUGCAAGUCGAACGGCAGCACGGGUGCUUGCACCUGGUGGCGAGUGGCGCACGGGUGAGUAAUACAUCGGAACACGUCCUGUAGUGGGGGAUAGCCCGGCGAAAGCCGGAUUUAUACCGCACACGAUCUACGGGUGAGAGCGGGGUCCUUUCGGGCCUCGCGCUCUGGGGAUGGUCGAUGGCUGUUUAGCUAGUUGGUGGGGUAAAGGCCUACCAAGGCGACGAUCAGUAGCUGGUCUGAGAGGACGACCAGCCACACUGGAACUGAGACACGGCCCAGACUCCUACGGGAGGCAGCAGUGGGGAAUUUUGGACAAUGGGCGAAAGCUUGAUCCAGCAAUGCCGCGUGUGUGAAGAAGGCCUUCGGGUUGUAAAGCACUUUUGUCCGGAAAGAAAUCCUUGGCCCUAAUACGGUCGGGGGAUGACGGUACCGGAAGAAUAAGCACCGGCUAACUACGUG